GACGAACGCUGGCGGCGUGCUUAACACAUGCAAGUCGAACGGUGAAAGUGGAGCUUGCUCCGCUGGAUCAUUGGCGAACGGGUGAGUAACACGUGGGCAACCUGCCCCUCACUUCGGGAUAACUCCGGGAAACCGGGGCUAAUACCGGAUAUGACCUCCUUGGGCAUCCUUGGAGGUGGAAAGUUUUUCGGUGAGGGAUGGGCCCGCGGCCUAUCAGCUUGUUGGUGAGGUAGUGGCUCACAAAGGCGACGACGGGGAGCCGGCCUGAGAGGGGGACGGGCCAAACUGGGACUGAGACACGGCACAGACUCCUACGGGAGGCAGCAGUGGGGAAUAUUGCGCAAUGGGCGAAAGCCUGACGCAGCAACGCCGCGUGCGGGAUGACGGCCUUCGGGUUGUAAACCGCUUUCAGCAGGGAAGAAGCCGCAAGGUGACGGUACCUGCAGAAGAAGCACCGGCUAACUACGUGCCAGCCGCCGCAGUAA
rnacentral:rRNA from 1 species